rnacentral:rRNA from 1 species
CGCAGCCGCGGUAAUUCCAGCUCCAAUAGCGUAUAUUAAAGUUGUUGCAGUUAAAAAGCUCGUAGUUGAAUUUCGGGAUCAAUACGUCGGUCGUGCUUCGGUACGUACUGGCGUAAUUGAUUUCUCCCUUCUGACGAACCAUGAUGUCAUUAACUUGGUGUCAUGGGAAAUCAGGACUGUUACUUUGAAAAAAUUAGAGUGUUUAAAGCAGGCUCACGCUUGAAUACAUUAGCAUGGAAUAAUGAAAUAGGACGUUCGAUCCUAUUUUGUUGGUUUUUAGGAUCAACGUAAUGAUUAAUAGGGAUAGUUGGGGGCAUUAGUAUUCAAUUGUCAGAGGUGAAAUUCUUGGAUUUAUUGAAGACUAACUACUGCGAAAGCAUUUGCCAAGGAUGUUUUCAUUAAUCAAGAACGAAAGUUAGGGGAUCGAAGACGAUCAGAUACCGUCGUAGUCUUAACCAUAAACUAUGCCGACUAGGGAUCGGAUGAUGUUAAUUUUUAAUGACUCAUUCGGCGCCUUACG